CUCGAAGUGGUUAGGUCUUCAUGGAGGACUAGAAAUGUUUGUAUGUGAGUGUAAUGAAUUUACUUCAUUAUUUAAUCAAGACUGUGGAUGUUGAGCUUUAGUAUUCAUACAUCUGAAAAUAAAAGGUUUAUCUGGAAAUUGGAUGCAAAUGGAGAAAAUCUUCAUAAGGAUAUCUCUACUCGUAUGUUGACGCUGUAAAAUUGAAGUGCAGCGAGGUUCUGACGAUUUGGUGGUUAACUUUCGCCCUCAAACGAGUGCAUUUUCUGAGGAGAAAUUUUUGAAAUGGAGAAAUGCUAGCUCCAGCAUCUGACCUAGAAUUUUUCGAAGAAAAAUGGGGAAAGUUGUCUACAUAUCCAUUACCAGGAUUCAAGUCGAAGUUUCUUCUGAAAUCAAGACUCUCUAAUUUUUUGAACAAGAUGCGAGAUGGGGGCUCUGGAAUAUAAUACAGGAUUAGAUGUAACUGGCCUUCGUAUAAGCAACUGAUGUGCUGAUAAUGCUAUGCAACUGCUAUUUAUAGUCAAAAACGCAGCA